UACGGAGGGUGCAAGCGUUGCUCGGAAUUAUUGGGCGUAAAGGGUAGGUAGGUGGUCUUAUUUGUCUGGGGUGAAAGCCUUGAGCUUAACUCAAGAAGUGCCCCAGAAACGGUGAGACUAGAGUCUUGGAGAGGGUCGUGGAAUUCCCGGUGUAGCGGUGAAAUGCGUAGAGAUCGGGAGGAGCACCAGAGGCGAAGGCGGCGACCUGGACAAGUACUGACACUCAACUACGAAAGCGUGGGGAGCAAACAGG
rnacentral:rRNA from 1 species